rnacentral:rRNA from 1 species
CCUACGGGAGGCAGCAGUGAGGAAUAUUGGUCAAUGGGCGGGAGCCUGAACCAGCCAAGCCGCGUGAGGGAAGAAGGUACAGCGUAUCGUAAACCUCUUUUGUCAGGGAACAAAGGCGGGGACUAGUCCCCGGAUGAGGGUACCUGAAGAAAAAGCAUCGGCUAACUCCGUGUCAGCAGCCGCGGUAAUACGGAGGAUGCGAGCGUUAUCCGUAUUUAUUGGGUUUAAGGGGUGCGCAGGCGGCCUGUUAAGUCAGCGGGAAAAGCCCGGGGCUCAACCCCGGAGAGCCGUUGAAACUGGCGGGCUGGAGUUGGAGAGAAGUACGCGGAAUGCGCGGUGUAGCGGUGAAAUGCUUAGAUAUCGCGCAGAACCCCGAUUGCGAAGGCAGCGUACCGGCUCCACACUGACGCUGAGGCACGAAAGCGUGGGUAUCGAACAGGAUUAGAUACCCUAGUAGUC